GGGCGCAGAGGCGACGCUGGCAGCAGUCUCUUAGGAGAUUUCUCUGCAGUGUGGACGGGGGUCAGGAUUUGCAGGCGAGCAAGGGCAGAGAGGAGAAAUCGUACAGAGUGAUGCCAAUUUGUACUGCACUGUGAAGAUUCAGAAACAGAGAGAAAAAGCUGGUGCUAAAUCUGAGCUGGAUUUGGAAGUACUCAAAAGAAUCUACUAAGAAUGUGAUAUCCCAGUGAUCUUGAAAGAUACAGAAGAGAAUAGGACUGGCUGAAAAACACUCAGAAUGCUGUGUCUGAUAAUUGGGAGUAGAACUUCUGAAGUCUAAUGAUCCAGGCCAGAUUUAAAUCUUAACUUUUCAUCAGCCUUCAGUGUUUUUAAUCCAAGGAAUAAUUAUCUUCCUGUAUUUCUAUUUCUUAGAUCAGAAUUUUUAAAUGCCAACCUCAUUAAUUUUCUAAGAUUUAAGUUGAAACAAUGUACAAUGUUGUAUAUCCUAACUUUCCUACAAGGGGCAGGAAGCAAGGUUAUGUGCAUGGCCACGUGUUUGUAGGUACAUGUGUUGAAAUAGGAAGUAUCCUAGUAUGUAUUUAGAUAAGAAAAACUUACAUACUAGUGUUGACUUUGAAAUUAUAACAUUUAUACCUACAUAUUCUUUGUGUUUAUUUUAAAGUUUUGAAAAUAUACAGGACUAUUAAUAAAAAAGAACGUGAUAUCAAUUUUAUGAAAGCCCUCACCUGAGGAUGCUGGGGACUUAGUAUAGUGUGCAAGAUAUUUAAUGGUAUGAGGCAUCAUCUAUAGCAGUGGUUCCCAACAUUUUAAAAUAUAAGGUACAUUUUGGAACUAAGAAAAGCAUCACCAGGUAUUGUGUGCUGGAAGUUGUACUGUUUUCAUCUAUUGAUUGACGAAUAACCUAGUGAUAAUGCCUAUUCUUAGUAAUGCUUUAAGUUGUAUUUACAUGUUAUCAAUAAUGACAGAAUCAGCAUGUUUUUGUAAAAGUAUAAGAGCUAUGUAUGAGGGGAAUGUUAUCCAUGCCAAUCAUGCUUGGCCUGCAUUCUAAACUUGUAAAUCCUUUAAUGGCUUGUCACCUACAGACCAAACCGUGCUGACUUAGAUUAAAAACAUAUCAUUGAUGAUAGGAA